rnacentral:rRNA from 1 species
GCGUGCCUAACACAUGCAAGUCGAACGAAGCAAUUAAGAUGAAGUUUUCGGAUGGAAUCUUGAUUGACUGAGUGGCGGACGGGUGAGUAACGCGUGGAUAACCUGCCUCACACUGGGGGAUAACAGUUAGAAAUGACUGCUAAUACCGCAUAAGCGCACAGUGCCGCAUGGCAGUGUGUGAAAAACUCCGGUGGUGUGAGAUGGAUCCGCGUCUGAUUAGCCAGUUGGCGGGGUAACGGCCCACCAAAGCGACGAUCAGUAGCCGACCUGAGAGGGUGACCGGCCACAUUGGGACUGAGACACGGCCCAAACUCCUACGGGAGGCAGCAGUGGGGAAUAUUGCACAAUGGGCGAAAGCCUGAUGCAGCGACGCCGCGUGAGUGAAGAAGUAUUUCGGUAUGUAAAGCUCUAUCAGCAGGGAAGAAAAUGACGGUACCUGACUAAGAAGCCCCGGCUAACUACGUGCCAGCAGCCGCGGUAAUACGUAGGGGGCAAGCGUUAUCCGGAUUUACUGGGUGUAAAGGGAGCGUAGACGGCGAAGCAAGUCUGAAGUGAAAACCCAGGGCUCAACCCUGGGACUGCUUUGGAAACUGUUUUGCUAGAGUGUCGGAGAGGUAAGUGGAAUUCCUAGUGUAGCGGUGAAAUGCGUAGAUAUUAAGAGGAACACCCAUGGCGGAAGGCGGGUUUAUUGGAUGAAAACUGACGUUGAGGUUGAAAAGCGAGGGGAGCAAAACAGGAUUAGAUACCCUGGUAGUCCCCGCCGUAAACGAUGAAUGCUAGGUGUUGGGGGGCAAAGCCUUUCGGUGCCGUCGCAAACGCAGUAAGCAUUCCACCUGGGGAGUACGUUCGCAAGAAAUGAAACUCAAAGGAAUUGACGGGGACCCGCACAAGCGGUGGAGCAUGUGGUUUAAUUCGAAGCAACGCGAAGAACCUUACCAAGUCUUGACAUCCCCCUGACGGGCCGGUAACGCGGCCUUUCUUUCGGGACAGGGGAGACAGGUGGUGCAUGGUUGUCGUCAGCUCGUGUCGUGAGAUGUUGGGUUAAGUCCCGCAACGAGCGCAACCCUUAUCCUUAGUAGCCAGCACGUGAAGGUGGGCACUCUAGGGAGACUGCCAGGGAUAACCUGGAGGAAGGUGGGGAUGACGUCAAAUCAUCAUGCCCCUUAUGAUUUGGGCUACACACGUGCUACAAUGGCGUAAACAAAGGGAAGCGAGACAGUGAUGUGGAGCAAAUCCCAAAAAUAACGUCCCAGUUCGGACUGUAGUCUGCAACCCGACUACACGAAGCUGGAAUCGCUAGUAAUCGCGAAUCAGAAUGUCGCGGUGAAUACGUUCCCGGGUCUUGUACACUCCGCCCGUCACUCCAUGGGAGUCAGCAACGCCCGAAGUCAGUGACCCUACCGAAAGGAGGGAGCUGCUCGAAGGCGGGGCAGGUAACUGGGGUGAA